UCUAGCCAUGGGCAGGUUGAAGGUUGGGUAACACUAACUGGAGGACCGAACCGACUAAUGUUGAAAAAUUAGCGGAUGACCUGUGGCUGGGGGUGAAAGGCCAAUCAAACCGGGAGAUAGCUGGUUCUCCCCGAAAGCUAUUUAGGUAGCGCCUCGUGAAUUCAUCUCCGGGGGUAGAGCACUGUUUCGGCUAGGGGGCCAUCCCGGCUUACCAACCCGAUGCAAACUGCGAAUACCGGAGAAUGUUAUCACGGGAGACACACGGCGGGUGCUAACGUCCGUCGUGAAGAGGGAAACAACCCAGACCGCCAGCUAAGGUCCCAAAGUCAUGGUUAAGUGGGAAACGAUGUGGGAAGGCCCAGACAGCCAGGAUGUUGGCUUAGAAGCAGCCAUCAUUUAAAGAAAGCGUAAUAGCUCACUGGUCGAGUCGGCCUGCGCGGAAGAUGUAACGGGGCUAAACCAUGCACCGAAGCUGCGGCAGCGACACUGUGUGUUGUUGGGUAGGGGAGCGUUCUGUAAGCCUGUGAAGGUGUGUCGU
rnacentral:rRNA from 1 species